AUUGAACGCUGGCGGCAGGCCUAACACAUGCAAGUCGCGCGAGCGGCGGACGGGUGAGUAAUGUCUGGGAAACUGCCUGAUGGAGGGGGAUAACUACUCGAAACGGUAGCUCAUACCGCAUACCCUCAGAUGUGCCCAGAUGGGAGUAGCUAGUAGGUGGGGUAAUGGCUCACCUAGGCGACGAUCCCUAGCUGGUCUGAGAGGAUGACCAGCCACACUGGAACUGAGACACGGUCCAGACUCCUACGGGAGGCAGCAGUGGGGAAUAUUGCACAAUGGGCGCAAGCCUGAUGCAGCCAUGCCGCGUGUAUGAAGAAGGCCUUCGGGUUGUAAAGUACUUUCAGCGAGGAGGCGUUACUCGCAGAAGAAGCACCGGCUAACUCCGUGCCAGCAGCCGCGGUAAUUC
rnacentral:rRNA from 1 species